ensembl:lncRNA LINC02054 long intergenic non-protein coding RNA 2054
GGGCAUGACCACAGCCUUUCUACCUUUGGCAGCCUGUCAAAGGGAAUCUUCUGGAGCCAGCCUCUUCCCUCCUUUCCCACCCGAGAGAGGAAACAUUCUUGCUGGGAAUGAGGCUGUCAAUCUACCUGAUUAAGAGUGAGAGAAGAGAGGGCCUAGCAUGGUAUAGAUGUUCAACCUGUGUUUGUUGACUGACUGAGUGAAUGGAGAAAGAGGGAAAUGCAAAAGAAAGAAGGAAAGGAGGAGGAUGGAUAUGAACUCUGAGACAAUUCUUUGACUGCCUGCAUCUGACAUGGACUUGUAUGGAAAGAAGCAGAUGGGUUUAAGCAAAGUGUUUGCUGCGCAUCAGGAUGUUUGGUGGACAUUCCAUUGUGGAUGGACCCUGGCUUCUUGCCCAACCGCUUAUGUUGGAAAUGCCCACCAGACUGGACCUCCCUGGAGACCAAACGCAGCCCAUCUUGGGAGCUGGCCAGUGCCACAUCCUCCCCCUCUUGCAGGGACCAGCUGAGUCAGUUGCUCCAUCUCGCACCUCUCAACACCUUCCUGUGUGGCACUGGACCACCUGUGGAAGCCCUGG